rnacentral:lncRNA from 1 species
UUCACCUUCAUUACAGUAUUCCAAAUACCCUGAAUUCCUCACGUAAGGGAGCCUUAUCCAAGAACUGUACAAUGAGGGGGGCUUUGGAACUCCAUCAAUUCCCUGGUGGUGUUGAUGCCCAACCGGCCUCCAGUGGUCCUUCUCAAUGCAUGGAUUUUUGGACUCAGCAGUAACAAACCACAACUCCCUUUUUAUCCAUAUUUUCAGUUCUGACCAAAGGGUAUUGCUGUGUCACACGGGGUAUAGUGCAGUGACAUGAUUACAGCUAACUGCAGUCUCAACCUUCCAGGACCAAGUGAUCCUUUUUCUUCAGCCUCUCAUGUAGCUGGGAACACAGGCCCUCUUAUUGGAAUGUUGCUCCAAGAACAAAGAUAUCAUGAGAAAGCCGUGCUUAGCAUGCCUAAAAUGAGACCUUCUUUUCUAUUCCAUUUUAACCAGGAAAAUUAAGCCCUAUAUUAAACUUUAGCUUAAUUAUAACCAGGUAACAUACCAUGAUGACUUUGUUCUAAAUAUUGAAAUGACAAAUGCCAGGUUGGAAUUACCUUUAGCUAUCAUAUAUAAUUCAGCUUAUCACAUUAAUAAUAAAAUAAUUUUUCACAGUAACAUAUUGGGAUGUUGUAACUAUUGUUGGUGGCUUGAACCAGGAUGUUACUGAAAUGGCGAGAUUUUAUUUCCAUGUAACCCAAGAUAUUUGUCUUUCCCUUGAAGUUUUGUCUUGAGAUAUAAAUAUUGUUGAUUUUAUCCAUCUUUCAUAGCAAGAUAUUUUUAAGGAGAUGUGUGUUUCAUAGUGCCAAUAAUUGCAUACCCAAAAGCCCAAUGACCCACACAUUUUCCUAUCUGGCUGAGUUUAUCUUCUACUAUAAAAACUGCUAAUGUCAGACACUAGCUUUUCCACUUUCAAUCACAGUAAGCAAAUAGACAUAUUGAAAAAUCUUGAUUCACAGUAGGAAUAGACCCAGAAAAAGUCUGCUGGGGGGAUAAUUUCUGGUAAAGGUCUUACUCCCUGACUUAAAAAAAUAAUGAAAAUAAAUCUAUCCUUACCUAGGUGUGAGAUGUCCAGGAUUUCAAAUAAUAGAAAGUAAGCCUAUAAAUCAGGCUGAUAUUUAAGGAUGUCUAAGCCUCAUUUCCAAAUUGUAUCUCUGAAGAUCUGAACCAGUCUAGGAUUCUCUAUUACAGGACUUCUGUUAUAUACUACCUGUUUUGUUGGGUGUCAGUUGUAUGUUAGGUGUGAUAAUACAUCUCUGGUAGAAAUUCUUACUAAACACAUCCUUAUUGAUACAAAAGAACAAUGACAACUCAAUGGCUAUUCAUAGAUAUAGUGCCUAGGUUUCUUCAUGUAAUGUCAAAGAGUUUGUACAUAGUUCACUCCCCAUCAUAGGUAGAGGUUUCUGUUAAAACUUGAUCAGAGACUGAUAUGGUUUGGUUCUGUGUCCCUACCAAAAUCUGAUCUCAAACUGUAAGCCCCAUGUACUGAGAGAAAAACCUGUAAUUCUCAUGUGAGGAGGGAGGGAAGUCAUUGGAUUAUGGGGGUGCUUUCCCCCAUGCAGUUCUUGUGAUAGUGACUGAAUUCUCAUGAGAUCUGAUGGUUUUAUAAAUGGUAGUUUUUUCUGCCCUCUCACACACACUUCUCCCUCCUGCUGCCAUGUGAAGGUCAUUGCUUCCUCUUCACCUUCUGUCAUGAAUGUAAGUUUCCUGAGGCCUCCCUAGCCAUGUGGAACUAUGAGUCAAUUAAACCUCUUUCCAUCAUAGAUUAUCCAGUCUCUGGUAUUUCUUUAUAGCAGUGUGAGAACAGACUAAUACAGGGACUAAAUCUCAAUCAUUAACCAUCAGUACUUCUCCUCUCUCCAGCAGUCAUUUUCACUUCCCAGUAAGCUAAGGGGUGUCAUGGAAAUGCAAAGCCUUUGUGUGUGUGUGUGUGUGUGUGUGUGUGUGUGUGUGUGUGUGUGUCUGUGUGUGUGUUACCAGCAUUGGCUUUGUUAAUAAGAAGUAAAGAAAAAAAUAUUCAUCAAGACCCUUUCUCCUAAGAAUUAUAUUGCAUUAGAAAAGCCUCUCUUAAUUAUUGUCUCAUUUUGUUCAUUUAUCUUUAUUUUAAAUUAGACUUCUUUCAGCUGGGAAAUGGAGAGCACUAAGAAGAGCAUCACCCACACACUUACAAUAAGAAAAAUUUAGACAAAAUGCAAAUUAACAGCCUUUCUUGAGCCCAAUAGAAAACUGAGGUUGCAGGACAAAAUCCUGUCUCAAAUAUCGAAAAAGUCGAGAAGAGGUUCUUUCCUCUGAAAGGAGAAAAAGGAUCCAAGUACUUGCUUACCUGCAACAGAUGCUCCAGAAUGUCAUAUAGAUUGGUAAGAGGAUCAAGCUAGAAAUGUUUUAAAAACUACUAAAAACUGAAUUUGUGCUAAUAAGAAAAUGUUUUUAGUUUUUCUAAAAGAUAACCGAGGAAAAACAAACCAUACUAUAUAUUGGGUGUGUGCAGCAUAAAAUGCAUAACAAUGAUGGCACAGGGAUGGGAGGGAGGAAUUUGCUAUAUGUAAUUACACUGCACGUGAAGUAGUAUAAUAUUCUUUGAAGGUAACAUCAGGUGAUUUUAAAAAGCAUGUUGCAAAUCCUAGAGUGGCCACAAAAAUAUUAAAAAUAAUAUAAACAAUAAGUCCACAAAUUAGAUAAAAUGAUAUCACUUAAAAAGAUGCUAAGUUAAAACCAGAGAGUGCAGAAAAAUAAAAGAAGCAAAAGCGAAUUGUAACAAAUAAAAAAUUACUAACAAUAUGUUCCGAUUGAACCCAACCAUAUAAAUAACCAUUUUAAAUGUGAAUGAUCUAAAUCUACUAAUUAAAAGAUAAUUUUAUGUUAGGUAAAGAAUAAUGAUCCAACUAUAUGUGGUCUAUGAGAAACAGUAGAAAUCUCAGCCAUUGAUAAGUUAGGGUAAAAAAAAUGGAGAAGGUAAACCAGGAUGGAGAAAGAUAAAUUAGGGUAGAGGAUGGAUAAAGAUAAAAGUCACUAACCAAAAGAGGGCUGUUUUAACUAUAUUAAUUUCAGAAAAUUACACUUCUGAACAAGAAAAUUUUUCAGAAAUAAAGAGAAAUAUUACAUAAUGCUAAAAGGGGUACAUUUUCUACAAAGAUUUCAGAAUCCUAACUAGAUAUGCAUCUAUCAAUAGAGUUUCAAAAUACAUACAUGAGGAAAAAUGGAUGGACCUGUAAAGAGAAGCAGAUAAAUCUGGAAUUAUAGUUAGAGGUAUCUGCAUGCCUCUCUCAGUAGCUGAUAGAACUCAGUAGGCAGAAAGUCAGUAAGGAAAUAGAUGACCUGAAAAACACUUAUCAACCAGUUGGAUCUAAGAGUUGUAGAAUAUUCCACCCAACAACAGCAGAAUAUAUUAUCUUCCCAUGAGUAACUGAAAUACAUCAAGAUAGACUGAGUUCUGGAACAUAAGACAAAUCUUAAUGAAUGUAAAAUGAUAGAAAUUAUAUACAAAGUUAUGUUCUUGGACUAUGACAACAUAAAGCUAGAAGUCAAUUUUAGAAAGUUAUCUGGGAAAUCUCCAAGUAUUUAUAAAGUAAAAAACGCAUUUCUAUAUAACUCAUGAGUCAUAGAGGAAGUCUCAAGGGAGAAUACUUUAAAUUAGCUGCCUUUUCUCACAAGCUUUUUCAUCAUAGCUUUAAAGGGUAGUCCUAGAUAGCAGUGGUGACACAUUGAGUGGUAAAGUUACACAUCUGUGCUAAAGUUUUCAACCUCUUUUCUAUAGAACCCCUGCCUAUCUUCUCAGGAUGGGUCUUCCACAAAAUAAUUUUUAGGUGGUAAUAAGUGUGGAUGCCAGGCUUUGACCACUCACUCACCUUCCUUCCCUCCUAAUUUUGGAUGAAGUACAAUUGUCAUAGUUGGCGCUUAGGACAGGUAUUGAUUUUUAAAUAUGCUUUCUUUUUUUUCUGUUAAGAUAUAAUGGUAUGUGUUUAAUUUGUGCUAGUGUUCUUAACUUCUUGAUUGUAUUUAUUUUGGAAUAAUUUGAGAGAAGGAGGUUCUGUCAUUUAGUCUUUCUCUAUACUUUUAAUAAGAAUGUUUUCCCAAGGAUUUGCAGUUCUUUAUUUUUAAAUUAUGCCAUCUGUUGUUUAUGGUGAGAAGCUUUUUGUUUAACGGAAACUUUAUAGCAUUUUGUAACAAGAUUUCAAUUUAAUUAACUUGAUUAAUGACUUAGGGCAAAAUUUGAAAAUAAGCUGAAAAAUGUAAAAGUAGCUUGUUUGAGAAAAGAAUUUGGUAUGAAAUAAAAAGUCAUCUUCACAGAUGCAACUGAUUUCUAAGCCCGUUAUGUAAUUCCACUGGUCUAAAUCACAGAAAACAUUUAUAGGACAUACUCUACCCUGCCUCUCCUGUUCAGAAAGAAGAUGGAUUUUCAAUAGUACUGUGAUAAGAGUGACAUCUGAUAUUAACAGCAAUUUCUUAAUUUGGUCCAUUAGAUUUUCCUGUUAUCAUAUUUCAUCUUAUUUCUUUGAAACUUUUUAAAUAAUGUUUUAUCUUGAAAGGAGCCUUUGAAGAGAUAGCUUUUGAUAUACAUUUUAGAGGAUAUUCUUGACGCAUGAUAU